rnacentral:rRNA from 1 species
GCCAAAGCUAGCCCAAACACCCAUAAACUCAACUACUACAAACCAAUAAAUUAAAACAUUUAGCUACCCCUUAAAAGUAUAGGAGAUAGAAAUUUAACUUGGCGCUAUAGAGAUAGUACCGUAAGGGAAAGAUGAAAGAAGAAUUAAAAGCAUGACACAGCAAAGAUUACCCCUUGUACCUUUUGCAUAAUGAAUUAGCUAGACAUAAUCUAACAAAGAGAACUUAAGCUAGACUCCCCGAAACCAGACGAGCUACCUACGAACAAUCUUUACAGGAUGAACUCGUCUAUGUUGCAAAAUAGUGAGAAGAUUCAUAGGUAGAGGUGAAAUGCCUAACGAGCCUGGUGAUAGCUGGUUACCCAGAACAGAAUUUUAGUUCAACUUUAAACNNNNNNNNNNNNNNNNNNNNNNNNNNNNNNNNNNNNNNNNNNNNCUAAAAAGGUACAGCUUUUUAGAACUAGGAUACAACCUUUCUUAGAGAGUAAGCAUUAAUAAAACCAUAGUUGGCCUAAAAGCAGCCACCAAUUAAGAAAGCGUUCAAGCUCAACAAUUACAACCACUUAAUACCAAAAAUUGUGCAACUAACUCCUAAUAUAAUACUGGGUCAAUCUAUUUAAUAAUAGAAGCAACAAUGCUAAUAUGAGUAACAAGAAGCAUUUCUCCUUGCAUAAGCUUAUAUCAGAACGGAUAACCACUGAUAGUUAACAACAAGAUAAUAACAACCCAACAAUAAACCAAAUAUCGAACUAAUUGUUAAUCCAACACAGGCAUGCAACUUAAGGAAAGAUUAAAAGAAGUAAAAGGAACUCGGCAAACACAAACCCCGCCUGUUUACCAAAAACAUCACCUCUAGCAUUUCCAGUAUUAGAGGCACUGCCUGCCCAGUGACAUUCGUUAAACGGCCGCGGUAUCCUGACCGUGCAAAGGUAGCAUAAUCACUUGUUCUCUAAAUAAGGACUCGUAUGAAUGGCCACACGAGGGUUUUACUGUCUCUUACUUCCAAUCCGUGAAAUUGACCUUCCCGUGAAGAGGCGGGAAUACAAAAAUAAGACGAGAAGACCCUAUGGAGCUUUAAUUAAUUGAUCCAAAGAGACUAAUUUACACCGACAGGAAUAACAAACCUCUAAAUGGGUCAACAAUUUAGGUUGGGGUGACCUCGGAGUACAAAAUAACCUCCGAAUGAUUUAAAUCAAGACUUACCAGUCAAAAGUAUUACAUCACUUAUUGAUCCAAAAACAUUUGAUCAACGGAACAAGUUACCCUAGGGAUAACAGCGCAAUCCUAUUCUAGAGUCCAUAUCGACAAUAGGGUUUACGACCUCGAUGUUGGAUCAGGACAUCCCGAUGGUGCAGCAGCUAUCAAAGGUUCGUUUGUUCAACGAUUAAAGUCCUACGUGAUCUGAGUUCAGACCGGAGCAAUCCAGGUCGGUUUCUAUCUAUUAAACAAUUUCUCCCAGUACGAAAGGACAAGAGAAAUAAGGCCAACUUCACCAAAGCGCCUUCAACCCAAUAGAUGAUAUAAUCUUAAUCUAAACAGUUUCAUCAACAUACCUGCCCGAGAACUCGGGCUC